rnacentral:lncRNA from 10 species
GGUCCCUCUUUUUCAGUCUCUUUCUAAAGAGCCACAGCUCUAGCUCUGGCUGGCCCUCAUGUGACUUGGGCGGCAGCCUCCUUUCAAAUUCCCACUUACCCCCCAAAUGGCUCCAUUCCUACCCCCAGUGCCUGGAAAACCUCCUACUGUCUUUUCUGUCGCAGCCCCCGAAGGUUUUUUUGUGUCUCUGGUUUUCAUCCUCCUGUAAAUAUAAACACGUCAGGACUGUCCAACUGCCUGCAUCCCAUGGUUCUCUUUCAAAGAGGUCCAGAUCCCAGGGAGGGCGCAGGGCUAAACUCCAGUCCUGGUUCUGUGAUCCUUUACCCGGGACCUUCCAUGACAUCUGGACUAAUUCCUUCACUGCUUGCAUCUCAGUGUCUUUUUUCCUCAUUCUGUCACCCAGGCUGGAGUGCAAUGGUGUGAUCUUGGCUCACUGCAAUCCCCACCUCCUGGGUUCAAGCGAUUCUCUUGCUCAGAACAGAUUCUGGUUUCCUCAUAGGUAAAACAGGAUAAUAAAUGACUUUGCAAGUUUCGAUGAGGAUUCCCUGAGAUAAUGUACACAAAGUGCCUGGUAAAAUGCAGGUGCUAAACAAAGUGUACUUGCUGCCACUGUCGUCAUCAGCUCCUGCCCGUUUCAGCAGUCAGACACCUGCCUGAUCAUCCCCCAUGGCAGAGAAG